rnacentral:rRNA from 1 species
AUGAACGCUGGCGGCGUGCCUAAUACAUGCAAGUCGAGCGAACAGAUGAGGAGCUUGCUCCUCUGACGUUAGCGGCGGCCGGGUGAGUAACACGUGGAUAACCUACCUAUAAGACUGGGAUAACUUCGGGAAACCGGAGCUAAUACCGGAUAAUAUAUUGAACCGCAUGGUUCAAUAGUGAAAGACGGUUUUGCUGUCACUUAUAGAUGGAUCCGCGCCGCAUUAGCUAGUUGGUAAGGUAACGGCUUACCAAGGCGACGAUGCGUAGCCGACCUGAGAGGGUGAUCGGCCACACUGGAACUGAGACACGGUCCAGACUCCUACGGGAGGCAGCAGUAGGGAAUCUUCCGCAAUGGGCGAAAGCCUGACGGAGCAACGCCGCGUGAGUGAUGAAGGUCUUCGGAUCGUAAAACUCUGUUAUUAGGGAAGAACAAAUGUGUAAGUAACUAUGCACGUCUUGACGGUACCUAAUCAGAAAGCCACGGCUAACUACGUG